AGGGAUUAAACUUGGACUCCAUUAAGUGACAGUAGCUGGAAGGUCAGAAGGUGCCACGGUGUAGAGCUGAGAUAAGGGAAAAAAGAAGACCUCCAAGAAAAAAUUUUUAAGCUGAUUUUUCAUUCCAUCCAAACCAUCACAUAUUCCUUGAAAAGAAGCUUUGUAUCCUAAAUAAAGAUAUUGAUAUUUUAGUUGAGGAUUUGGAGCAGAACCUCAGUAUGUGUGAAGACUAAGGGGAAGAAGCACAUAUCAACUGCCAAAACUUCUUUCCACGUAUCUUUAGCAGGGAAUUCAGUGAAAGGAGUAAAUCUUGGCUUUCUGACUCCUAACCUGUUUUCAUCCAGACAUCCAUACCCUGCUGCUGCAGAACUGGCCUGA
rnacentral:lncRNA from 1 species